rnacentral:rRNA from 1 species
UACGUAGGGUGCAAGCGUUGUCCGGAAUUAUUGGGCGUAAAGAGCUCGUAGGCGGUUCGUCGCGUCGGCUGUGAAAUCCCGAGGCUCAACCUCGGGUCUGCAGUCGAUACGGGCGGACUGGAGUUCGGCAGGGGAGACUGGAAUUCCUGGUGUAGCGGUGAAAUGCGCAGAUAUCAGGAGGAACACCGGGGGCGAAGGCGGGUCUCUGGGCCGAUACUGACGCUGAGGAGCGAAAGCGUGGGGAGCGAACAGG